rnacentral:tRNA from 1 species
GUCCCUGUAGAGCAAUGGAUAGCGCGUUGGAUUUCUAAUCCGAAGAGCGUGGGUUCGAAACCCACCUGGGAUU